GCCUCCGUAGCUCAGUUGGUAGAGCGGUUGCCUCGUAAGCAACAGGUCCCGCGUUCGAUCCGCGGCGGGGGCU
rnacentral:tRNA from 1 species